GGAGGCGGCGACGCCCCCCCCGACUUGAGGCCGGCGACCAUGCCGGUCUGCCGCCUCCGCACCCCUUUUCUCGAUGAUGCGCACUUAAGAGGCGGGCCCAUGGCCCGCCU
rnacentral:sRNA from 1 species